rnacentral:rRNA from 1 species
ACACAUGCAAGUCGAGGGGAAACGACAUCGAAAGCUUGCUUUUGAUGGGCGUCGACCGGCGCACGGGUGAGUAACGCGUAUCCAACCUGCCCACCACUUGGGGAUAACCUUGCGAAAGUAAGACUAAUACCCAAUGACGUCUCUAGAAGACAUCUGAAAGGGAUUAAAGAUUUAUCGGUGAUGGAUGGGGAUGCGUCUGAUUAGCUUGUUGGCGGGGUAACGGCCCACCAAGGCGACGAUCAGUAGGGGUUCUGAGAGGAGGGUCCCCCACAUUGGAACUGAGACACGGUCCAAACUCCUACGGGAGGCAGCAGUGAGGAAUAUUGGUCAAUGGGCGAGAGCCUGAACCAGCCAAGUAGCGUGCAGGAUGACGGCCCUAUGGGUUGUAAACUGCUUUUAUAAGGGAAUAAAGUGAGUCUCGUGAGACUUUUUGCAUGUACCUUAUGAAUAAGGACCGGCUAAUUCCGUGCCAGCAGCCGCGGUAAUACGGAAGGUCCGGGCGUUAUCCGGAUUUAUUGGGUUUAAAGGGAGCGUAGGCCGGAGAUUAAGCGUGUUGUGAAAUGUAGACGCUCAACGUCUGCACUGCAGCGCGAACUGGUUUCCUUGAGUACGCACAAAGUGGGCGGAAUUCGUGGUGUAGCGGUGAAAUGCUUAGAUAUCACGAAGAACUCCGAUUGCGAAGGCAGCUCACUGGAGCGCAACUGACGCUGAAGCUCGAAAGUGCGGGUAUCGAACAGGAUUAGAUACCCUGGUAGUCCGCACGG